rnacentral:pre_miRNA from 1 species
UAACCUCUGCAGGCUGCCGGCCCCAGCCUGGGCUGGGUGAGUAUCUCUUGGAAAGGAUCACCCUCAAGCACGGCUAGGAGC